rnacentral:rRNA from 1 species
GACGAACGCUGGCGGCGUGCCUAACACAUGCAAGUCGAACGGAGUUAAGUCUUCGGAUUUAACUUAGUGGCGAACGGGUGAGUAACGCGUGAGGAACCUGCCUUUCAGUGGGGGACAACAGUUGGAAACGACUGCUAAUACCGCAUAAGCGCACAGUACCGCAUGGUACAGUGUGAAAAACUCCGGUGGUGUGAGAUGGACCCGCGUCUGAUUAGCUAGUUGGUGAGGUAAUGGCCCACCAAGGCGACGAUCAGUAGCCGGCCUGAGAGGGUGAACGGCCACAUUGGGACUGAGACACGG